AUAGAGAUGCGAAAAGGAGGCGGGAGAGUGGAAUAAAUACGUAAUAGCCGCUCUAGGCGGUGUAUUGGUGAUCGAAGUAAAAUCCGGGUCACCAGCUUUCCCUGCCUCUUCCCCGCCCACUCUGGGUCGCGUGCGACGGCGGGCUGGUGGUGAUGCCUCCCGGAGUAGCCCCUCCCUCAGGAGCCGAGCCGAGCCGCCGUCACCGGUCAGUCUGUGCGGGAAGAGAAGCGCCAAGUUGUAUGUGGAUUUUCUCUGCAGAAGACUCAGGCUUAACCUUUAGUGCACUAGUUCUGAACUUCUUGGAAUGUUUAUUGAGAAAUGUAUCAAUGAUAUGCAGUGCUUUUUGAGACUACAAAUAAGGAGAAAAACAUUCUGGAACUCAGAAAAUAUGAAGGCAGAUGUGUUUUCCACUUUGAGCUGGAAAUGUGGCUUGUGCCCUUUUUCAUACCUUUCCCUUUUUUUUCCCUUCACUUAACUGGAUGGAUGAAAAAUUUUAAUGUCAUUAUAAGAGUAAUGGGUCUGUUUGGGUGUUUGGUAGCAGAUAGUAUUCUACUGGUGAUUGUCUUUGCAGUAAUUCAUUGCUUUGAAUUUGGAAUUCUAUUAUUUUACAUCUGUGGCAGUUUAAAGUGUAUCUUUUUUUUUUAUAAACAGCAAACUUCACCUCAUAAAAAUUCAUUACAUAAGGGCAUAAACAAGUAUUUUUCCUUCCAGUCAUUGGCAGUAAGUGAUUCAUCAGUUUUCCACAGAAAACCAAUUUCACUGCAGAUGUUCUGUAAUUUCCACUCAUCUUGAGUUGUAGAAUCAUAUCAACCAAUCCCAAUGGAGGUAAUAUAGGGGUUUUUGAAGGAAAUUGUGUUGUGCGUGUGCAAAUGUGAGUGUGUGGCUGUGUGUGCGUGCGUGUGUGUGCUUAAUCUUUUUAAUAGGAUAGACUAUCGUUUGCUGUCUCAUCACUUUUUCAAAAUAACCGUGAAGUAGUCAGUCUGCCAUUCUUUUCUUUGGUAUACAGACUAUCAAUUUACCCCAGUGCUCUGCUUCAAUUGUAAGAGUGCAAAUUAGUAACUGGCAGAAAAGCAAAAUACCCCUUGGUAUACUGACUGUUUAUUAACAAGUAAUGAUUCUGCAUUUUCCCCAUGUAAAGUUACUUGUGCAGAGGUUGACAGACAAUUAAAAAGCAUUCAAGCUGGAAUAAGUUUAGCAGGUUUUGGAAUAAUAAGUACAGUCAAGAAAAUUUGAGUGAAACGAUACUGUCAAUUAUCCAGGAGAGUUGGUCUUGUGGUAGCAAGCAUGACUUGUCCCCUUAGCUAAUCUGGGUCAGCCCUAGUUGUAUUUGAAUGGGAGACUACAUGUGAGUGCUGUAAGAUAUUCCCCUUAGGGGAUAGGGCCACUCUGGGAAGAGCAUCUAGGUUCCAAGUUCCCUCCCUGGCUUCUCCAAGAUAGGGUUGAGAGAGAUUCCUGCCUGCAACCUUGAAGAGGCCACUGCCAGUCUAGGUAGACAAUACUGAGCUAGAUGGAUCUAUGGUCUGACUAAGUAUAUGGCAGCUUCCUAUGUUCCUAAUAGCAUAAGAAAUAUUUAUAUGGUUACUUUAAAGAUGGUCACUUCAGCUAGCCAAGUGAAAAUGAAAACAAAGUAGGCUAAAUAGUCCUACCUGAUAUGUCAUCUCUCUUUCCCCCUUUUUCUGUAUGGAAACUUGGUUGGGACAUUCUUCUUAAAUUUCAUAUUGUAUGUGUAUGUUACAUAUCAGGAGCAAUACAGUCUUGUGCUGUUAUGAAUUCUAAGAUGUAUUUCGAUAUAUAUUUUGUCUUAAUAAAAAAAAGUUUUAAAAA